rnacentral:rRNA from 1 species
GGCCGUACCAUGCUGAAUAUACCGGUUCUCGUUAGAUCACCGAAGUCAAGCAUCAUUGGGCGCGGUCAGUACUUGGGUGGGUGACCACCUGGGAACACCGCGCGCCGUU